AAAUUGAAGAGUUUGAUCAUGGCUCAGAUUGAACGCUGGCGGCAGGCCUAACACAUGCAAGUCGAACGGUAACAGGAAGCAGCUUGCUGCUUCGCUGACGAGUGGCGGACGGGUGAGUAAUGUCUGGGAAACUGCCUGAUGGAGGGGGAUAACUACUGGAAAUGGUGGCUAAUACCGGAUAACGGCGUAAGAGCAAAGAGGCGGACCUUCGGGCCUCUUGCCAUCAGACGUGCCCAGAUGGGAUUAGCUUGUUGGUGCGGCAACGGCCCACCAAGGCGCCGAGCCCUAUCUGGU
rnacentral:rRNA from 1 species